rnacentral:rRNA from 1 species
AGAGUUUGAUCAUGGCUCAGAACGAACGCUGGCGGCAGGCUUAACACAUGCAAGUCGAACGCAUCCUUCGGGGUGAGUGGCAGGCGGGUGAGUAACGCGUGGGAACGUGCCCUUCAGUUCGGGAUAACCCAGGGAAACUUGGGCUAAUACCGGAUACGUGCGAGAGCAGAAAGAUUUAUCGCCGAAGGAUCGGCCCGCGUCUGAUUAGCUAGUUGGUGGGGUAAUGGCCCACCAAGGCGACGAUCAGUAGCUGGUCUGAGAGGAUGAUCAGCCACAUUGGGACUGAGACACGGCCCAAACUCCUACGGGAGGCAGCAGUGGGGAAUAUUGGACAAUGGGCGCAAGCCUGAUCCCAGCCAUGCCGCGUGAGUGAUGAAGGCCUUAGGGUUGUAAAGCUCUUUCGUCCGGGACGAUAAUGACGGUACCGGAAGAAGAAGCCCCGGCUAACUUCGUGCCAGCAGCCACGGUAAUACGAAGGGGGCUAGCGUUGUUCGGAAUCACUGGGCGUAAAGGGCGCGUAGGCGGCUUUGUAAGUCGGGGGUGAAAGCCUGUGGCUCAACCACAGAAUUGCCUUCGAUACUGCAUGGCUUGAGACCGGAAGAGGUAAGUGGAACUGCGAGUGUAGAGGUGAAAUUCGUAGAUAUUCGCAAGAACACCAGUGGCGAAGGCGGCUUACUGGUCCGGUUCUGACGCUGAGGCGCGAAAGCGUGGGGAGCGAACAGGAUUAGAUACCCUAGUAGUCC